CAGCAGCCGCGGUAAUACGUAGGGCGCAAGCGUUGUCCGGAAUUAUUGGGCGUAAAGAGCUCGUAGGCGGUCUGUCGCGUCUGGUGUGAAAUCCCGAGGCUCAACCUCGGGCUUGCAUCGGGUACGGGCAGACUAGAGUGCGGUAGGGGAGACUGGAAUUCCUGGUGUAGCGGUGGAAUGCGCAGAUAUCAGGAGGAACACCGAUGGCGAAGGCAGGUCUCUGGGCCGCAACUGACGCUGAGGAGCGAAAGCAUGGGGAGCGAACAGGAUUAGAUACCCGUGUAGUCCCUGUCUCUUAUAC
rnacentral:rRNA from 1 species